rnacentral:rRNA from 1 species
GUAGUCAUAUGCUUGUCUCAAAGAUUAAGCCAUGCGUGUCUAAGUAUAAGCAAUCUAUACAGUGAAACUGCGAAUGGCUCAUUAAAUCAGUUAUCGUUUAUUUGAUAGUACCUUACUACUUGGAUAACCGUGGUAAUUCUAGAGCUAAUACAUGCUAAAAACCCCGACCUCUGGAAGGGGUGUAUUUAUUAGAUAAAAAACCAAUGCCUUCGGGCUCCUUGGUGAUUCAUGAUAACUUUACGAAUCGCAUGGCCUUGUGCCGGCGAUGGUUCAUUCAAAUUUCUGCCCUAUCAACUUUCGAUGGUAGGAUAGUGGCCUACCAUGGUUUCAACGGGUAACGGGGAAU